rnacentral:lncRNA from 1 species
CCAUUUAGUCGAACUAAACAAAAUUAAUUAAUUAAUGAAAAGAAAAAAAACCCAAUCUGAAUCAAGCUCCAUGAGUUCAUACACCAAAUUUAGCAUUUGGUUCAAGCUCCGUGUUGGGUAAAAUGGAUCAAACACAUCAAAAGUUCUUGUUCAAGAGAAAAACACACAGAUUCAAACACAGAUUCCGGCGAGAUCCAUAAUUCAAACACAGAUUCCGGCGAACAAAAAUAAAAAUGAAGAACAAACAACGAACAAUAAUUCCGACCCAGAUUCCGGCAAAAUCCAUCCUUCAAAACCCCAACACCAGCAUAAACAUAACAAAACCCUAAAAUUUAUCAUCAUGUUAUUCCUAAAAUCGAUUGAUAACAAAACCUUAGACCUCAAUCUGGACCCAAACUCCUAACCCUAGAAAUCGAGGAGAAAUCUGGCCUCGGCAAAUCCACCGACUGAAAAUCUCUUCUGCCAUUAAACUCGCAAAUCCACUGGCGAAUCUCCGCAAAUCUCGGCAGAUCAAAUCCACCAUCGACUGAAAAUCUCUUCUGGAAGGAGAGAAAUAGAGGAAACUAUGUGGUGGGUCUGCCAUUAAACUCUCAAAUCUCCGCAAAUCUCGGCAGAUCGAUUUCUCUGUCAACCCUAGAUCUGAUAACGGCGGUAGUGAGUCGGAGAUUGAAGAUCUAGACUCGGUGACCCGGAUAGUGAGCCGGAGAUUGAAGAUCUAGACUCGGUGAUUAAAAGCUUCGAAGAAGAGAUGAUGAACUCGGCCGGCGUUCUCUCCCUCCUGUGAAGAUUUUUUUUCUGGUGAAGAAGAAAAAGGAAUUUAAUGUUUG